rnacentral:rRNA from 1 species
CAACUUUCAACAACGGAUCUCUUGGCUCUCGCAUCGAUGAAGAACGCAGCGAAAUGCGAUAAGUAAUGUGAAUUGCAGAAUUCAGUGAAUCAUCGAAUCUUUGAACGCACCUUGCACUCCUUGGUAUUCCGAGGAGUAUGCCUGUUUGAGUGUCAUU